rnacentral:misc_RNA from 1 species
GAGAACAGUCAGUUCGAGACGAGAUCCCGUCGUGUUACCUUCUCUCUCUCUUUUUCUCUUUGUCUUUUUUGUUCACCUACUCGCUCAUACACACUCAUACAAGCGACGUCGUAACAUUGAGCAAUCCGCGUGGAGGAGAAUCCGAGAUCGACCUCCUUCGUCUUGUCGAUCUUUCUUAAUCGACUUUACGCGUAUUCGUGAGGCUUGUUGGAAUCACCAAAUAGUUCUUCUUACUUAAAUUGAGUUAAACAACGUACGGAGGAAAUACGCCAACGUUACCAAAAUGGCCGCAUACUAAAAAACAUCGGGAGACUAUCGAAGUGGCUCUCCAAUAGCAGAGCUUCGAGUCUUUAAAACGACGACGACAUGACUUGUCAUGACUUUGAACGUUUAUUUUAAAAAGAGAUAGAGGACACCUUGUCCUUUUCUUCUUUCUCUUUUUUCUCUUCUUUGCUUUUUCUUAACAUCGGGUGUUAAUUAUUUCUUAUAUUGCUGCUAAUCUAUCAUAUAAUUUAGGUGGACUUAUUACGAGGUCCAUCUCAUUGAAAGAAGUGGAGCUCGAAAGGCUCGAGUCAAAACGCCCAUGCCGGACUGCGGGAAAAAAUUGCAGGAAAAGAAGAAGAAGAGAAGCAGAAGGAGGUGAAAAAACGAGAAAGGAAGCAAGAAAUAAAAUAAAACGAAUAAUCGUCGCGAUCAUCAUCGUUUAAAAUUCAAAACGAAGAGAGAUCGUGACGUUAACGUAAACAAAAAGAAAAAAAACGUUUCUCCAAAAUGGCGUCAAUUAUCGUCACGCGACUCCUAAUUUUUCUUACUUUGAUAACGUUAUCCUGGAAGAUAGUAAAUUCUCAUGUCGCUUUGACUUUUCCACGAGCGAGAACAUAUGAUUUGGAUUUUCUCGACAAUGGCAGGACACCUGGCCCCUGUGGUAUGCCACGUGGAACCAUUAAGACAACCUUACUUUCCGGAAGUAACUUCAACAUCACGUGGCACCUAUCUUAUCCUCACAGGGGAGGAUUUCGGCUUCAAAUACUUGAUAGCCUCGACAGACCUUUGGUCGAUUUAACACCAGUAACACAACACAGCGAAUUUGUUGAAGACGAUGCAACAGCUCAAAGUUAUCACGUUCAGUUACCUCAAAACUUUACCUGCAUCGACUGCACUAUCAGACUCCUUCGAAAAGCUGAGGAAUGGGGUUUUAGUUACAGGUUCUGGUCAUGUGCAGAUAUCGACAUACUUGAUAAAAAGAUCUACAGGGAAGACUGCAGCGGUCACGGCAGAUACCUUCUGGGUAGAUGUAGAUGCGAUCGUUUCUACCAUGGCGCAAGAUGCGAAUUUAAGGAAGAGUGUCUCGACGAUACGGAUUGCGGUACUCAGGGCACGUGCAUCGACAAUGGUGGUACGACCGCACCCACUAAACUCUGCUACUGUAACAUCGGUUGGUUUGGACCAGGUUGCGCAAAAAGAUCACCGGUAAAAACGGUUGACUUAGAUUUAGAAUCUUAUACGAUGAAACGAUUCUCAGAUGAUGUAACCUUUUACUGGAGGAUUUUAUGGACAAGCAUGGAAUUAGAAGGUGUUCUCGUUGCAAACAGUACCACUUGGAUCGGUGUUGGUUGGAGACCGAGUAACUUAACUCCAGAAUGUCGUGCAUUUCCUGAAAUAAAUGAUCCACCAAAAGAUGAACCACUACCUAAACCUGAGCCUAAAUCCGAACCAGAACCCAAACCAGAAUCAGAAGGAAAAAUCGCGGAAAGUAAAAGCCAAUCGAGUAAAUCUGUUAUGGCUGAACUGGUGGCUGAACCUAAAGCCGAACCAGAACCAGUAGCAGAAACAGAACCACAACUAGAGUCAGAACAUGAUAGCGAAAGGUCUGGUGCUAAAAGGAGAUCAGCUAAAGUAGACGGUACAACGUCCGUGACCUAUCGACCAGAUGAUGUUACUGUACAGACUAGUGUGACUUAUCGCGUUAGCACAAAACAAGGUCGUAAACGUAGAUCAUCCGAAACAAAAACAUCGCUGUCGGACGGUGGGCGCGCAACCAAGUCGGCCGUCAUCAUUGGCACAGAGCCAGAAUCCAUCUCCGAACCGGAACCUCAACCUGUGUCAAAACCCAAAUCUCAACAAGAAUCUAAAUCUAAGUCAGAUUCACCAUCAACGCUUGAACCUAAAUCUGAACCUGAACCUUUAACUGAACCAGAACCCGAACUUAUAUCCGAACCAGAACCAAAGUCUGAGCCCGAGCCCAAAUCUGAACCCGAGCCCAAAUCUGAGCCCGAGCCCAAAUCUGAAACAGAACCUAAAUCCGAACCAGAACCAAAGUCUAAACCUGAGCCUAAGUCCGAACCUGAACCAAAUUCUAAACCAGAGCCAAAAUCUGAACCUGAGCCUAAGUCCGAACCUGAACCCAAAUCUGAACCUGAGCCUAAUUUCGAACCUGAACCCAAAUUUGAACCUAAGCCUAAAUCCGAACCAGAACCAAAUUCUAAACCAGAACCAAAAUCUGAACCGGAACCUACUUCCGAGCCGGAGCCAACUGAACCUAUCUCAGAACCGGAAGCUAAGUCAAUCCUCAAAACGGGAACAACGAAAGCGUCGGUACCAUCAGUGGGACAUAAAUAUACUCCGAAACACGACUUUAAUCCUAUGGAUUGUACGGAUAUAAUAAUCGGUACGGCAAGAGGAAUGGCGCAUAGAAUCGGGGAUUAUUAUACAAGAGAUAGAUCAACGCCUCGUCAAGACAAUUAUUGGGGUGGAAAAGAUAGUUUGACAGCAGCCAUGGGUUUCGAACGAGAUGGUGUCACCACAAUACUCUUCAGAAGGAAACUAGAAACAAACGAAUCCACGGAUCAUGCUUUCCGUGAAGGUAAUAUGCACGUGAUAUGGGCCAAAGGUCAGGAGCCAGGUCAAUACAUUCAUCGUCCACCAAGUGGUGUUGAAAAAUCCAAGGUUUCCGUUAAGGAAUUUUAUAAGGUCGAUGAACUAAAGUAUCACGGACAUAAUUCACAAAGAGGUGUAACAACCAUCGACUUCUUUGAAAACAAUGGCGAAGAAGAGGAAGUUAAUGUACCGUUACCAGGUGGAGGCUGCGGUGGUUCAUGGCAAUAUCCAAGACAUUGUUCAAUUGAAAAUCAUACAUGCGAGUACGCUAUAGAAUGGAACUACAAAGCAAAAAUGGAUCAAAUAUCCUUCGUGAUUUCUACAACGAACACAAGUAGUUGGACUGGAGUUGGAUUUUCUAAGGAUGACAAAAUGACACAAACGGAUGCAGUCCUUGGAUGGGUGGAUAAAACCACUGGUCGGGAGUUCGUCAUGGACACUUGGAUGAGCGGUUACAAUCCUCCCCUAUUAGAUCCUUCCCAAGAUAUUUAUAACACACACGGACGAAUCGAGGAUGGAAUUAUGACAAUACGAUUUUCAAGAAAACGUAUCACAAAGGACACUACUAGAGAUUUCUCAUUUACCGAUGAUAAUUGCCUGUACAUGAUGUAUCCGAUAAAAGGUGGCAAAUUCAAUGCAGUUAACAAAAAGAUUCAAAAACACAGUGCUCCACCAAUGGUUUCACAAAAAAAAAUCUGUAUAAGGCCUUGCGGUGCAGAAGAAAUAGAAGCAAUGACAACACCAGCUCCACCAAGAUUGUAUUACGAUAUUGAAGUUAAGUUAAUUAACCUCGGUGAUGGUUUUGUUCCACCAUUGCGUAAUAGUCCCGAUUUCGAAAUCAUCUCUAACACGAUAACAGAUAGUUUUGGACCGGUUUUCGAAAACCUUCCUGGAUAUUAUCGAAUCUCUCUCGAAGAAUUGAAACAAGAUAAAGAACAAAGUGGAUCAAUAGCGCAUAUUAAAUUAAUUUUGGAUAAGAAUGAAAUCAAAGGCAGAGCUUUAAAUCCAUUGGACACAACAGCAGCUGUAGAAAAGGUAUUAAAAGAAGUUCUCGUUAGUGGCAAAGUUGGUGCUCUUUCCGUUGAUCCUCAGUAUCUAGUCAUCAAAGCACCUCGAAUAAGCGAAGAAAAUGAAGUAAACAAUGAAGACGAUCGAACAUUAAAACCAACGUUCCUGUUAAGCGAAACAAAGUUAUACAUCGUCGUUGGAUGCGUUGCUGCAUUGAUAGCACUAGCUCUUUUACAAGCUAGCUGUACACUUUACAAAUCUUCAAGAAAACGCUCGACCAAGAGGGUCUACUCGCUGCCUCUGGUUUACUCCGACGCGGUCAACCCAAUUCAUCGAACUAACGCGACGCGGUCCCACCGACAAAACGGCGAUGAACAUCAUCACUACAACUACCAUCAUCACCAUCUUCGGCAUCAUCAGCAUGCUCCGAAUGAAAAGCACCGGCCUAAUCCCAGCUGGUAGAUCUCACACUUCAGAUACAAUCGACAUGCAAAAAUAUUCAUCGCUUCCUCGUUUUCUCACUAAUCAAGGAUCGACUGAUAAGCAGUAAUGCAUGGAAAGACUAUUCCUCCGGAGCAAACACUAACUUUGGAUUCGAGUCUUUCGAAACAG